rnacentral:rRNA from 1 species
UACGAAGGGGGCUAGCGUUGUUCGGAAUUACUGGGCGUAAAGCGUGCGCAGGCGGCUUCUCAAGUCAGGGGUGAAAGCCCAGAGCUCAACUCUGGAAUUGCCUUUGAGACUGAGUGGCUUGAGUACGAGAGAGGUGAGUGGAAUUCCCAGUGUAGAGGUGAAAUUCGUAGAUAUUCGGAAGAACACCAGUGGCGAAGGCGACUCACUGGACACGUAUUGACGCUGAGGUGCGAAAGCGUGGGGAGCAAACAGGG